rnacentral:rRNA from 1 species
GACGAACGCUGGCGGCGUGCUUAACACAUGCAAGUCGAACGGAAAGGCCCUGCUUUUGUGGGGUGCUCGAGUGGCGAACGGGUGAGUAACACGUGAGUAACCUGCCCUUGACUUUGGGAUAACUUCAGGAAACUGGGGCUAAUACCGGAUAGGAGCUCCUGCUGCAUGGUGGGGGUUGGAAAGUUUCGGCGGUUGGGGAUGGACUCGCGGCUUAUCAGCUUGUUGGUGGGGUAGUGGCUUACCAAGGCUUUGACGGGUAGCCGGCCUGAGAGGGUGACCGGCCCAAGUGGGGCGGGAAAUAGGGCCCGGCCCCCGCCGGGAGGCGCAGGGGGGAAUUUUUGCAAAGGGGGGGGAGGCUGAAGCAACCACCCCGGGGGGGGGGAGACGGGCUUUGGGGUGUAAACCCGCUUCGCCCGGGGAGGAGGGGGGGGGGAGGGUAGGGGGAAAAGAAGCCCCGCAAAACUAGGGC